AAGAAAGAAGGUAAGGGUACACGGAGGAUGCCUGGGCAUCUGGAGGCGAAGAAGGACGUGGCAAGCUGCGAAAAGCUUCGGGGAGACGCAAGCAGUCCAAGAUCCGAAGAUAUCCGAAUGGGACAACCCAUCCCUUUAGAGGGAUAUCCCGCAAGGGAGGCCAACGCAGGGAAGUGAAACAUCUAAGUACCUGCAGGAAGAGAAAACAAUAGUGAUUCCCUAAGUAGUGGCGAGCGAACGGGGAAGAGCCCAAACCGAGGGGCUUACGGGCCUUUCGGGGUAGUAGGACCACAAUGUGCGGAGCUUAGCGAAAUCGAAGACCGUUGGAAAGCGGCACCAAAGAAGGUGAUAGUCCUGUAGUUGUAAGCGAAGCCGAGCUAGUGGGAUCCUGAGUAGGGCGGGGCCGGAGAAACCCUGUCUGAAUCUGGCGGCACCAUCCGCUAAGGCUAAAUACUCCCAGAUGACCGAUAGCGCACAAGUACCGUGAGGGAAAGGUGAAAAGCACCCUGAAUAAGGGAGUGAAAGAGUUCCUGAAACCGUGUACCUACAAACAGUCGGAGGUUCCCUUCGGGGGAUUGACGGCGUGCCUUUUGCAUAAUGAGCCUACGAGUUGCGCCUCAGUAGCGAGGUUAAGUACUUCAGGUACGAAGCCGGAGCGAAAGCGAGUCCGAAUAGGGCGUUGAGUUACUGGGGGCAGACGCGAAACCCGGUGAUCUAUCCAUGGGCAGGUUGAAGUCUCUGUAACAGGAGAUGGAGGACCGAACCAAUAUACGUUGAAAAGUGUUUGGAUGACCUGUGGAUAGGGGUGAAAGGCCAAUCAAACCGGGAAAUAGCUCGUACUCCCCGAAAUGUUUUUAGGAACAGCGUUGAGGUGAGUCUCAUGGAGGUAGAGCUACUGAUAGGGCUAGGGGGAGUCACAUCCUACCAACCCCUGAUAAACUCCGAAUGCCAUGAGAUCUACUCAGCAGUGAGGGCUAGGGUGCUAAGGUCCUGGUCCGAGAGGGAAAGAACCCAGAGCAACAGCUAAGGUCCCAAAAUACAUGCUAAGUUGAACUAACGCGGUUUAGACGCUAAGACAGCUAGGAUGUUGGCUUGGAAGCAGCCAUUCAUUUAAAGAGUGCGUAACAGCUCACUAGUCGAGUGUUUAAGCAUGGAUAAUAAUCGGGCAUCAAGCAUGUUACCGAAGCUAUGCGAUUGAGCUUGCUCAAUCGGUAGGGGAGCAUUCCAUGGUUGUGGAAGUUGGGCCGUGAGGCCUGGUGGAGAGCAUGGAAAAGCAAAUGUAGGCAUAAGUAACGAUAAAAGAGGUGAGAAACCUCUUCACCGAAAGACUAAGGUUUCCUGUUCAAUGCUAAUCAGAACAGGGUUAGUCGGGACCUAAGGUCAACCCGAAAGGGGAAGCCGAUGGAAAACGGGUUAAUAUUCCCGUACCUGCUCACACUGAAAGUGACGGGGAGGUUGACUGGGUGCGUGCUGACGGAAACGCACGUUGAAUCCCACUUUAGUGGGAGACAGUACCACAAGGCUUCGGCUGCGUGGAUAAUCCCGGAAGGUCUCCUCCUAGAAAAGCGAGUGAGCGGCCCGUACCGCAAACCGACACAGGUAGUCGGGGUGAGAAUCCUAAGGUGCUCGAGUGAAUCGUGGCUAAGGAACUCGGCAAAAUAGUCCUGUAACUUCGGGAGAAGGGACGCCUCCUUCGGGAGGCCGCAGAGAAAUGGCCCAGGCGACUGUUUAACAAAAACACAGGGCUUUGCAAAGUCGUAAGACGCAGUAUAAGGCCUGACACCUGCCCGGUGCCGGAAGGUUAAGUGGAGGGGUGCAAGCUCUGAAACGAAGCCCCGGUAAACGGCGGCCGUAACUAUAACGGUCCUAAGGUAGCGAAAUUCCUUGUCGGGUAAGUUCCGACCUGCACGAAUGGUGUAACGAUCUG
rnacentral:rRNA from 1 species